rnacentral:rRNA from 1 species
AACGAACGCUGGCGGCGUGCCUAAGCCAUGCAAGUCGAACGGGUUGUCGCAAGACAAUCAGUGGCGAACUGGUGAGUAAUACGUGGGUAAUCUGCCCGAGAAUGGGGAAUAGCCCUUCCAACGAGGGGGUAACACCGCAUAUUAUCGCGAACCCGCAUGAGUUUGCGAUGAAAACAGGGGAUCGUAAGACCUUGUGUUCUCGGAUGAACCCGCGCCCCAUUAGCUAGUUGGUGAGGUAACAGCUCACCAAGGCGACGAUGGGUAGCCGGCCUGAGAGGGUGAUCGGCCACACUGGGACUGAGAUACGGCCCAGACUCCUACGGGAGGCAGCAGGCGGGAAUAUUGGGCAAUGGACGAAAGUCUGACCCAGCGACGCCGCGUGAGGGAUGAAGCUUCUCGGAGCGUAAACCUCAAACGGAUAGGGACGAAAAGCUUAUCGGCUAAUAUCCGGUAGGCCUGACGGUACCUGUUACGAAGCUCCGGCUAACUCCGUGCCAGCAGCCGCGGUAAA